GACGGAGGAUGCAAGCGUUAUCCGGAAUGAUUGGGCGUAAAGCGUCCGCAGGUGGCAGUUCAAGUCUGCUGCCAAAGACCGGGGCUUAACUUCGGAAAGGCAGUGGAAACUGAACAGCUAGAGUAUGGUAGGGGCAGAGGGAAUUCCUGGUGUAGCGGUGAAAUGCGUAGAGAUCGGGAAGAACACCAGUGGCGAAAGCGCUCUGCUGGACUGCAACUGACACUGAGGGACGAAAGCUAGGGGAGCGAAAGGG
rnacentral:rRNA from 1 species